rnacentral:lncRNA from 1 species
CUUCAUAGACCACCCACUUAUUUCCGCUACGAUUGUAGGACGAAAUAAAAGUGCAGAGCAUAUCGAAGUCCCAAAUAAAUCACUUAUUGGCGGUCACGAUUUUUGAAGUUCGGUAGGCCCAUACUUACUCUCAAGCUAACUGGUCGCUACUCCUUCAGAAAUAAGGAAUCAGCAAGGAAGGAUAGGACACAGAAUAAGGACCUAAAGUUGUUUGUCCGAUGAGACCGAG